UGCGUAGGUGGCGCUGUAAGUGGGGUGUGAAAUCCCGGGGCUUAACCCCGGGACUGCAUUCCAUACUGCGGUGCUUGAGGACUGGAGAGGAGACUGGAAUUUACGGUGUAGCAGUGAAAUGCGUAGAGAUCGUAAGGAAGACCAGUGGCGAAGGCGGGUCUCUGGACAGUUCCUGACACUGAGGCACGAAGGCCAGGGGAGCAAACGG
rnacentral:rRNA from 1 species